UACGGGGGGAGCAAGCGUUGUUCGGAUUUACUGGGCGUAAAGGGCGCGUAGGCGGCCACCGCAAGUCAGUUGUGGAAAUCUCUGGGCUUAACCCAGAAAGGUCAACUGAUACUGCGGGGCUAGAGUGCAGAAGGGGCAACUGGAAUUCUCGGUGUAGCGGUGAAAUGCGUAGAUAUCGAGAGGAACACCUGCGGCGAAGGCGGGUGCUGGGCUGACACUGACGCUGAGGCACGAAAGCGUGGGGAGCAAACAGG
rnacentral:rRNA from 1 species